CCUACGGGAGGCAGCAGUGAGGAAUAUUGGUCAAUGGACGCGAGCCUGAACCAGCCAAGCAGCGUGAAGGAUGACUGCCCUACGGGUUGUAAACUUCUUUUGUAAGGGAAUAAAGUGAGGCACGUGUGCCUUUUUGUAUGUACCUUAUGAAUAAGGAUCGGCUAACUCCGUGCCAGCAGCCGCGGUAAUACGGAGGAUCCGAGCGUUAUCCGGAUUUAUUGGGUUUAAAGGGAGCGUAGGUGGGUUGUUAAGUCAGAGGUGAAAGGUCGCGGCUCAACCGUGAAACUGCAUUUGAUACUGGCAGUCUUGAGUACAGUUGAGGUAGGCGGAAUGCGUGGUGUAGCGGUGAAAUGCUUAGAUAUCACGAAGAACUCCGAUUGCGAAGGCAGCUUACUAAACUGCCACUGACGUUGAUGCUCGAAAGCGUGGGUAUCAAACAGGAUUAGAUACCCGUGUAGUC
rnacentral:rRNA from 1 species